rnacentral:sRNA from 1 species
CCGGCUCGGAGUGUGACAUAAGCAGGUCGUGUACCUUUCUUAGGUGACUCCGGCCACAGCCCAUUGUCCGCGGCCGCCGGCGGAGUUUAGUCGCAGACCUCGAAGCGCCCCGGGGUCCUUCCCGAACGGCAGCGGCUGCGGCGGGUCCAUGGAGAAGGGCCCUGUGCGGGCUCCGGCGGAGAAGCCGCGGGGUGCCAGGUGCAGCAAUGGGUUCCCUGAGCGGGAUCCGCCGCGGCCCGGGCCCAGCAGGCCGGCGGAGAAGCCCCCGCGGCCCGAGGCUAAGAGCGCGCAGCCCGCGGACGGCUGGAAGGGCGAGCGGCCCCGCAGCGAGGAGGAUAACGAGCUGAACCUCCCCAACCUGGCAGCCGCCUACUCGUCCAUCCUGAGCUCGCUGGGCGAGAACCCCCAGCGGCAAGGGCUGCUCAAGACGCCCUGGAGGGCGGCCUCGGCCAUGCAGUUCUUCACCAAGGGCUACCAGGAGACCAUCUCAGACGUCCUGAACGAUGCUAUAUUUGACGAAGACCAUGAUGAGAUGGUGAUCGUGAAGGACAUAGACAUGUUUUCCAUGUGUGAGCAUCACUUGGUUCCAUUUGUUGGAAAGGUCCAUAUUGGUUAUCUUCCUAACAAGCAAGUCCUUGGCCUCAGCAAACUUGCGAGGAUUGUAGAAAUCUAUAGUAGAAGACUACAAGUUCAGGAGCGCCUUACGAAACAAAUUGCUGUAGCAAUCACGGAAGCCUUGCGGCCUGCUGGAGUCGGGGUAGUGGUUGAAGCAACACACAUGUGUAUGGUAAUGCGAGGUGUACAGAAAAUGAACAGCAAAACUGUGACCAGCACGAUGUUGGGUGUGUUCCGGGAGGAUCCAAAGACUCGGGAAGAGUUCCUGACUCUCAUUAGGAGCUGAGCUUCAGUGUGUGUGCGUUGGUUGCCGAUCGUACUGCCAGUAGCCUUGUCUGUCUGUCUGGUCUUGUUUGUACAUUCCAUUUUCAAUUGUUACAGAUGUGAACUUUAUUCCUUGUCACUAAUUACAUUUAAAAUUAUUUCUAGGAAGUCAAAUAAAUAUAAUAAAGGGUUGAGCCCUCUACUUUCUUCUUGCCACCUUUUUUGUGGCAAUAUUAAAGUGAACUGCUAAUAGUGUAAGUACAUGCACAAAACCACUGCCAGAUAACCAGAGGGGCCUGGGAAGGGAGAAGAAUUAGUGUAGUUUUUUCAAAUAGUACAGUAAUUUGACUCAUAAGCAUAGGAGCAUUGGGAAUGAGAGGGAACUGGGCCCAGUAUACUGUUUUUUUCUUCCUCCAAUAAAAGUGGUGUAGUGUUGAAAGUGCUAAAAUAUUUAGUGCGGUAUUGCUCUGUGAAUUCAAGUUCAACAGACUCCACUUUGGUCAUGUUUAUUAAACCACCAGUGACAUUUAAAAAUAUAUUUUUAGCAGUUGUAAUGUUAGUCACCAAGGGAAGGUGGUGGAAUGUCUAUGUUUUUGAUUUCACUGUGAGUUAAAAAGGCACAUUUCUACCUUCUAUUGUUUUUUUAAAUUCAAGAAUAGGGAAUUAGUUCCUGGUGUUGUUUACGAGUGUAUUCUCAUGUCAACAUACAGGGAUUUAGACAUUUAACUCUCUGUGCCUUGAUAAAGAAUAUCAUUUAGAGUGUAGAUACUUUUGCCUUUUUAAAAAAGCCAUUAUUUUAUGAGACUUAGUACUCACACUGCAAAUAACUAGUCAUCUCAGUUUUAACUUUAUAGGUUUAUUGAGAGUUUCCUUUGUGUGAUCCAUGUAGAUGCCUCAAAAUGUUUCUUCGUCUUCUUUUUUUUAACCUUAUAAGAUAUUUUUCUAAGUAUUUCCAGAAACAUUUGAGAGUGCCCAUCAUUUUCAGGUCUGCAGAACCAUAGCUUCCACGCACCUGAAAGAGCACAGAAUGAAUGACGGUGGAAGACAUUAUGAGCUGUGUCCAACGUUCUAACCAAAGCUUAUCAUACCAAUGAUCUGUGAAAAUGCACUGGAAGCUUCUGGUCCCGGUUUCCUUUGUGGUCUACGUGGGUCUUGUCCUCAUUGUAACUCCGUAUAGGUGGUAUAGGUAUUUUAAUCCUGGAAGCUGUUGCCUUAUUAAUGAUUAUCUUAAACUUUCCUCUAUUGGGGCAGCGUGGGCCAAAUUAAAACAAACAAAACUGCAACUCCUCCACAGAAACACAAACACAGUUAUUCUAUGAAGUUUAUUAUUUGGUUGACAUAGUGCUCUUCAAAUUCAUCCCAUUACCCUAAAAGUAAUAACUUUGAUGCUUGCUCUAACUUUAGUCCCAUCUCUGCCACUUUGAUGCUAUUUGGGUUAUGAUGGGGCAAGAUGGCAGAGGUAUUGGGUUUUUUUGUUUUUUUCCAUUCCUCUCUACUUCUGUCUAUUUCCUAGCUUUUUCUUUCUGGAGUUUAAGUACAGUGAUGGUUGGCUUGAGUACCUUUUUAAAUCUAUCCCAGUAUAAACAUUAGCCUGCUUAAUAUUUAGACGUUUAUAGGUAGAAUUCUGAGCACUCAACUCAUGUUUGGCAUUUUAAAGUAAAAACAAGUGUGACUUCGAGGACCAAAGAAAUUGUUAGCUAUACAUUUAUCUUUAUGAACUCAUUUAUAUUCCUUUUUAAUGACUCGUUCUAACAUUUCCUAGAAGUGUUCUUAUAAAGGUCUAGUGUAUCCACAGGCUGUUGUCUUAUUAGUAAAUGCAAAGUAAUGACUUUGUCUGUUUUACUCUAGUCUCUAGUACUUCAAAAUUACCUUUUCAUAUCCAUGAUCUUGAGUCCAUUUGGGGGAUUUUAAAGAAUUUGAUGUAUUUCAAUACACUGUUCAAAAUUAAAUUGUUUAAUUUUAUGUAUGUGUAUGUAUGUUCCUGAAGUUGGUCCUAUUUAAAUUAUUAAAGUAUUGUAACUUU